AUGGAGCCCCUCCCCCACUCAUGUGUUACAUGGAGCCCCUCCCCACCCUUGUGUCACAUGGAGCCGUCUCCACUCACGUGUCACAUGGAGGCCCUCCCCUACAUAUGUUGCAUGGAGCUCCUCUCUUACCCAUGUGUCACAUGCAGCUCCUCAUCCACCCAUGUGUCACGUGGAGCCCUCCCCCAACACAUGUUACAUGGAGGGCCUCCCCUAUGUGUAUUGCAUGGAGCCACUCCGUUACCCUUGUGUCAUAUGGAGUCCCUUCCCCACCCAUGUGUCACAUGGAGCCCUCCUCACUCACGUGUCACGUGGAGGCUCUCCCUUAAGUGUGUCGCAUGGAGCCACUCCAAUGCCUGCGUGUCACAUGGAGCCAUUCUCUACCGUGUGUCACAUGGAGCCCCUCCCCCAGCCAUGUGUCACAUGGAGCCCCUUCCCCACCACGUGUCACAUGGAGCCCUUCGCCCACCACGUGUCGCAUGGAGCCCUUCGCCCCACCACGUGUCACAUGGAGCCCCUUCCCCACCAUGUGUCACAUGGAGCCCCUCCCCCACCACGUGUCACAUGGAGCCCCUUCCCCACCAUGUGUCACAUGGAGCCCCUUCCCCACCAUGUGUCACAUGGAGCCCCUCCCCCACCACGUGUCACAUGGAGCCCCUUCCCCACCAUGUGUCACAUGGAGCCCCUUCCCCACCAUGUGUCACAUGGAGCCCCUCCCCCACCACGUGUCACAUGGAGCCCCUUCCCCACCAUGUGUCACAUGGAGCCCCUUCCCCACCACGUGUCACAUGGAGCCCUUCGCCCACCACGUGUCGCAUGGAGCCCUUCGCCCCACCACGUGUCACAUGGAGCCCCUUCCCCACCAUGUGUCACAUGGAGCCCCUCCCCCACCACGUGUCACAUGGAGCCCCUUCCCCACCAUGUGUCACAUGGAGCCCCUUCCCCACCACGUGUCACAUGGAGCCCUUCGCCCACCACGUGUCACAUGGAGCCCCUUCCCCACCAUGUGUCACAUGGAGCCUCUCCCCCACCACGUGUCACAUGGAGCCCCUUCCCCACCACGUGUCACAUGGAGCCCUUCGCCCCCUCCCUUGCCUUCCCCCCUCCUGUCCCUUAGGGCCAGAACUCCGCACCCUGGAGCUUUUCUUCCAUGUGCUGUUUAGGGGAUCUUCUGUCAUUAAGUCAUUAAUUCAGCAAUAA
rnacentral:lncRNA from 1 species